rnacentral:rRNA from 1 species
UACGAAGGGGGCUAGCGUUGCUCGGAAUCACUGGGCGUAAAGGGUGCGUAGGCGGGUCUUUAAGUCAGGGGUGAAAUCCUGGAGCUCAACUCCAGAACUGCCUUUGAUACUGAGGAUCUUGAGUUCGGGAGAGGUGAGUGGAACUGCGAGUGUAGAGGUGAAAUUCGUAGAUAUUCGCAAGAACACCAGUGGCGAAGGCGGCUCACUGGCCCGAUACUGGCGCUGAGGCACGAAAGCGUGGGGAGCAAACAGG